AGAGUUUGAUCAUGGCUCAGAUUGAACGCUGGCGGCAGGCCUAACACAUGCAAGUCGAACGGUAACAGGAAGCAGCUUGCUGCUUUGCUGACGAGUGGCGGACGGGUGAGUAAUGUCUGGGAAACUGCCUGAUGGAGGGGGAUAACUACUGGAAACGGUAGCUAAUACCGCAUAACGUCGCAAGACCAAAGAGGGGGACCUUAGGGCCUCUUGCCAUCGGAUGUGCCCAGAUGGGAUUAGCUAGUAGGUGGGGUAACGGCUCACCUAGGCGACGAUCCCUAGCUGGUCUGAGAGGAUGACCAGCCACACUGGAACUGAGACACGGUCCAGACUCCUACGGGAGGCAGCAGUGGGGAAUAUUGCACAAUGGGCGCAAGCCUGAUGCAGCCAUGCCGCGUGUAUGAAGAAGGCCUUCGGGUUGUAAAGUACUUUCAGCGGGGAGGAAGGGAGUAAAGUUAAUACCUUUGCUCAUUGACGUUACCCGCAGAAGAAGCACCGGCUAACUCCGUGCCAGCAGCCGCGGUAAUACGGAGGGUGCAAGCGUUAAUCGGAAUUACUGGGCGUAAAGCGCACGCAGGCGGUUUGUUAAGUCAGAUGUGAAAUCCCCGGGCUCAACCUGGGAACUGCAUCUGAUACUGGCAAGCUUGAGUCUCGUAGAGGGGGGUAGAAUUCCAGGUGUAGCGGUGAAAUGCGUAGAGAUCUGGAGGAAUACCGGUGGCGAAGGCGGCCCCCUGGACGAAGACUGACGCUCAGGUGCGAAAGCGUGGGGAGCAAACAGGAUUAGAUACCCUGGUAGUCCACGCCGUAAACGAUGUCGACUUGGAGGUUGUGCCCUUGAGGCGUGGCUUCCGGAGCUAACGCGUUAAGUCGACCGCCUGGGGAGUACGGCCGCAAGGUUAAAACUCAAAUGAAUUGACGGGGGCCCGCACAAGCGGUGGAGCAUGUGGUUUAAUUCGAUGCAACGCGAAGAACCUUACCUGGUCUUGACAUCCACGGAAGUUUUCAGAGAUGAGAAUGUGCCUUCGGGAACCGUGAGACAGGUGCUGCAUGGCUGUCGUCAGCUCGUGUUGUGAAAUGUUGGGUUAAGUCCCGCAACGAGCGCAACCCUUAUCCUUUGUUGCCAGCGGUCCGGCCGGGAACUCAAAGGAGACUGCCAGUGAUAAACUGGAGGAGGGUGGGGAUGACGUCAAGUCAUCAUGGCCCUUACGACCAGGGCUACACACGUGCUACAAUGGCGCAUACAAAGAGAAGCGACCUCGCGAGAGCAAGCGGACCUCAUAAAGUGCGUCGUAGUCCGGAUUGGAGUCUGCAACUCGACUCCAUGAAGUCGGAAUCGCUAGUAAUCGUGGAUCAGAAUGCCACGGUGAAUACGUUCCCGGGCCUUGUACACACCGCCCGUCACACCAUGGGAGUGGGUUGCAAAAGAAGUAGGUAGCUUAACCUUCGGGAGGGCGCUUACCACUUUGUGAUUCAUGACUGGGGUGAAGUCGUAACAAGGUAACCGUAGGGGAACCUGCGGUUGGAUCACCU
rnacentral:rRNA from 1 species